AGUGAACGCUGGCGGCAGGCCUAACACAUGCAAGUCGAACGGCAGCACAGUAAGAGCUUGCUCUUACGGGUGGCGAGUGGCGGACGGGUGAGGAAUACAUCGGAAUCUACUUUUUCGUGGGGGAUAACGUAGGGAAACUUACGCUCAUACCGCAUAUGAUCCACGGGUGAAAGCAGGGGAUCUUCGCACCUUGCGCGAUUGAAUGAGCCGAUGUCGGAUUAGCUAGUUGGCGGGUUAAAGGCCCACCAAGGCGCCGAUCCGUAGCUGGUCGGAGAGGAUGAUCAGCCACACUGGAACUGAGACACGGUCCAGACUCCUACGGGAGGCAGCAGUGGGGAAUAUUGGACAAAGGGCGCAAGCCUGAUCCAGCCAGACCGCGUGGGUGAAGAAGGCCUUCGGGUUGUAAAGACCUUUUGUUGGGAAAGAAAAGCAGCAGGUUAAUACCCCGCUGUUCUGACGGUACCCAAAGAAUAAGCACCGGCUAACUUCGUG
rnacentral:rRNA from 1 species